AGCCAUCGCGAUAUAUGCUCGCCCGUGCGAGAUUGGACGCCAAAAUGGGAUACUGUGGGGGAGGCUCAUUCCUAGAGUGGGGAUGUUGACUACCACGGGGCCAUUGUUGGCACGGCGCUGGCCGGACUACCUACGGGUAGCUUCCACAGGAUUGGGUUACUGGUGACACAUUGUACCUUUUGGACAUUGACUAGAAUAGUAGAUAAUGACACAUUACCAUUCUAGCUUGUGAUCAUGGUGUUGGGCUUUUACUUAUGCAAUUAUGCCAUGGUAGUUUAUUACUUAUGCAAAUUC
rnacentral:lncRNA from 1 species